rnacentral:rRNA from 1 species
UGAACGCUGGCGGCAUGCUUUCCACAUGCAAGUCGAACGGUAACAGGCCUUCGGGUGCUGACGAGUGGCGAACGGGUGAGUAAUGCAUCGGAACGUACCCAGAGGUGGGGGAUAACGCAGCGAAAGCUGUGCUAAUACCGCAUGUGAUCUGAGGAUGAAAGCGGGGGACCGAGCAGCAAUGUUUGGCCUCGCGCCUUUGGAGCGGCCGAUGUCGGAUUAGCUAGUUGGUGGGGUAAAGGCCUACCAAGGCGACGAUCCGUAGCUGGUCUGAGAGGACGACCAGCCACACUGGGACUGAGACACGGCCCAGACUCCUACGGGAGGCAGCAGUGGGGAAUUUUGGACAAUGGGCGCAAGCCUGAUCCAGCAAUGCCGCGUGCGGGAAGAAGGCCUUCGGGUUGUAAACCGCUUUUGGCAGGAACGAAACGGUGUCCGCUAAUACCGGGCGCUAAUGACGGUACCUGCAGAAUAAGCACCGGCUAACUACGUG